ensembl:lncRNA
CUGGGACAAACACAAGAGGAAAAGCGAUUUGGAAACAAAAACACCUGCUGCUCCUGCUGAGAGGAAGUGAGUGUAAAAACAGUCACAGUGGCUCCAAACCUUUGAUGUACAUGCUACUUGGUGCAUAUGAUCUGCAUCGGAGUCAAGAUCCCCAUCCUUCCUUUUAAGACUUAAAAUGUUAGAUGAGGCGAGCAGAAUCCUCUUCAUGUUGGGUUUUCUAGACGGACUGUGAACCGCUGUGUUAGUGAGAGCGCGUGCUGUGAUUGGUCAGAAACGAGCCAAUCACAGAGGCCGGAGUUCUGUGACCUCUCUGUCACAGCGUGUGAUGAUCCUGAUGGUGAAAGCUGAUUGGCUGUAAACACGAGAGGUUAAAGAUGACGCCGCUGUGUGUUCAGUGAGGUCAGGUGUGCUUUAAACAUCAGUGUAAAGCAAAGAGGGCUGAUCUACAAACACUCUACAACAACACAAACACACUCAAGCCAUUACACACCGUCCCUAAACCUAUA